rnacentral:rRNA from 1 species
UACGUAGGGACCAAGCGUUGUUCGGAUUUACUGGGCGUAAAGGGCGCGUAGGCGGCAAUUCAAGUCAUCUGUGAAAUCUCCGGGCUUAACUCGGAACGGUCAGAUGAUACUGCUUUGCUAGAGUGCGGAAGGGGCAAUCGGAAUUCUUGGUGUAGCGGUGAAAUGCGUAGAUAUCAAGAGGAACACCUGAGGUGAAGACGGGUUGCUGGGCCGACACUGACGCUGAAGCGCGAAAGCCAGGGGAGCGAACGGG